GAUACAUACUCUCCACCAAUUUCUACAUAAAAGUGGGGGAAAUAUUAGUAGAAAAGAUGAUUUAGCAAUGAGGCUACACAACCAUUCUGAGAACACGUAAAAACAACAUAACCAAGGAGCCCCAAUCAUUAAGUUAUGGGAUUUUGACAUUUAACUCCUGAGCUGAUGAGCAUGUCCACAGAUCUAGUAAAUAAAAUUUAUAUAGAAGUAGAAAACAAAACAAAUGACUCUAAGAAACAUAUAGCAAAUUGCAGAGUAUAGUCCUCAUUUACAACUCAUUGGUAGAAAUGAUGAAAAAGACAACCUAUAUAACUUCUCAGGCCAACAAAUGAUCAAUCAGCACAUGUAUUCAUCAAAUGAUAUGUGCAAGGGGGCAAGGAAGUAUGAGCAGGAAAAGUAGGACAUUGCAGAAUAUAGCAUAUACUUCAUGUAUCAAUUAUAAUUCUAGCCAAAGCUAAAAUUUUGCUGUAAAUUAUGACAUGAC
rnacentral:misc_RNA from 1 species